AACGAACGCUGGCGGCGUGCCUAAUACAUGCAAGUAGAACGAGUUGCGAACGGGUGAGUAACGCGUGGUAACCUGCCUCAUAGCGGGGGAUAACGAUUGGAAACGAUAGCUAAUACCGCACACUGUGAGAUGGACCUGCGUUGUAUUAGCUAGUUGUUGAGGUAAAGGCUAACCAAGGCGACGAUACAUAGCCGACCUGAGAGGGUGAUCAGCCACACUGGAUCUGAGACACGGUCCAGACUCCUACGGGAGGCAGCAGUGGGGAAUAUUGCACAAUGGGCGCAAGCCUGAUGCAGCCAUGCCGCGUGUAUGAAGAAGGCCUUCGGGUUGUAAAGUACUUUCAGCGGGGAGGCGUUACCAGCAGAAGAAGCACCGGCUAACUCCGUGCCAGCAGCCGCGGUAAUAC
rnacentral:rRNA from 1 species